GGAUCCACUUCCGUCGCUGGUUCGCCCCCAGGGGUGAGGCAAGAGGGAACCCGGUGGAAGUCCGGGACUGCCCCGCAGCGGUGAGCGGGAACGACCGCCGUCAUACGAGCACUGGGCGCGACGGCGCCUGGGAAGCGACGGCCAGUAGGACCGGCGGGCCCCGGCCCGCCGCGCCCGCGAGUCCGAAGACCUGCCGGCGACGCGCGUGGGCC
rnacentral:ncRNA from 2 species